ensembl:lncRNA
AUCUUCAGUCUUAUAUCUUUGAACUGCAGGCAAAGACUCUUCUAUAGCUCAAUCCUAUGGGGAAUGAUUACUCUUACAUCUGUUACUUCAAUAAUUUUUGGAGGAGGAGGAAAUCUGAGACUGAACGGAAAACCCAGCCAUGUUGCAGAUUGUCUGGCCUUCAAUGGCCAGCAUAUCUCAUUCUUCUUGGGUGUCAUGCAAGAACUCGGGAACUACCACACACAGGUUAAUUCAAGAACACAUUCAAAUGGUGCAUGUGUUUGGUAUCAUCAACAGUAGAUGAAGAAUCUGACAUCACUCUCAGUAAUACAGAGACCUGAAUACAUGGUUUAUAGGAAAUAAUCAAGUGAUUCAGAAAACAAUUUUUAAGAAGUAAAGAUUAUUUUAAAUUAUUGUAGGCUUCAGAAAAAAAACACAUUUUCUUGUCAACUGUUUCUUUAUGGUUAUCUUAAGGCUUUUGUCAUCCACAAUUGAUGUUUUGCUUUGAUCUUUCUAAAAAAAAAAAAAGUAACUUAUAAUCAGCUACAGUCCAAGGCCUGCUUCUUUGGAAGAGUUCAUGAAAAGUACUCUUGAAUACAGGUUUCUGAUAACUUCGGAGACUGUGCCAUUGGAUUAGAGAGAAAACUUCCAGGGCACUGAUUGAAAGGCUGAUGUAUUCUUGAAGAUUGCUAACCCAAUAUGAAGAAGAGCAGGAGUUGAUUGCAUGGACUAAAUUAAUGGAAGACAGAAAUAGCUUUUUAUGGCCUUUGUUAUUUGAAAUAUUGCUGAUUCUUUUUUUUUUUUUUUUCAAAAUCUGGAGAAUCUUUUCCUUUUGAGCUAUUUGUAGCCUUGGAAUAUACUUUAAGUCUAUUGAGUAUACUUCUGAAAACAUAAUUUAAGUCAUAUAUUUCUCUUUGUCUAAUUUCUUCAGAAUUUGUAAACUAUUUGUGAAAAUUCUUAAUUCAUGGCACUAUGUUUGGUUGCAUACAGUUAAUAACAACAUGUUUUAUUUUGUAAUGAGACACAUUUGAAGGGACUCGUUAUUUUCUCGGGGCUCUGACCAAAAUGGCCUUGUGAGAUGUUUCAGUAAAGCCAAUUUGGGAGUGUCUAUAUGGACAGUGAUUUUUAUCACAUUUUGUAUGGGUAAUAAAGCCACGUAUGUGGGACUAAAGCUAAUAUUUCAGGUAGAUUGGUCCUUCUUUGAUUUGUCUCUGGUAUAAGUGGUGGACUGAAGAGAGAAAUACUGUAUGUAAGAAGAAAGCUCUGUAUCUUAUUAUAUCUGAUUAACCAUUGAUUCCUGGGUGGCUACAUGGUCAACCAUGGUAUGGAGCUGCUGACAACACCCCUCCUCAGCAUAAAGCAGGCAGAAGGAUUGACAGCUAGAUUCCUCAUGAUUGAGGAAUUGAAAAAUAGAAAGUGGAGACUGAAAUCAGCCCAAGACUCCCAUAAACAGUCAUUUUUGGAUAAACAUAGAAACUGAUCUCUGGUGUUUUGGUAACAAUCAGAAAAUUGGAAAAAGAAAAUAUGGUACAUAUACAUCGUGCAAUACUGUACAGCCAUAAAAAGGAAUGAGUUAAUUUCCUUUGCAGGGAUGUGAAUGGAGCUGGAAGUCAUUACCCUCAGCAAGCUAAUGCAGGAACAGAAAACCAGGGACUGCAUGUUCUCACUUGUAGGUGGGAGCUGAACAAUUUAAACACAUGGACACAUGGUGGGGAAGAACAUACACUGGAGCCUGUUGGAGGAGACUGGAGGAGAAAGAGCAUAAGGAAGAAUAGCUAAUGGAUGCUGGGCUUAAUAAAUAGGAAUGGGUUGAUCUGUGCAAAGAACAACUAUGGCACAUAGUAACAAACUAUGUAACAAACUAACAAAGUAUGACACCUCUGUAACAAAGCUGCACAUCCUGCACAUAUAUGCUGGAACUUAAAAAGAUAAAGAAAGAUAAAAGAUAAAAAAAGAUGAGGAAACGUUUAUCUUUUAAAGAAAAAAUUUAAAAUUAUCUUUAAAAUUUAAAGAAAAAGAUAGAGAAAAAUAACACACAAAAUUUCUUUCUUUCUUUUUUUUUUUUUUGAGACCAAGCUCUCCCUCUGUCACACAGGCUAGAGUGCAGUGGUAUGAUCUCAGCUCACUGCAACCUCUGCCUCGCAGGAUCAAGUGAUUCUUCUGUCUCAGCCUCCCAGGUACCUGGGAUUAUAGGCACCCACCAUCACAUGUGGUUAAUUUUGUUGUAUUUUUAGUAGAUAUUGAGUUUCAUCAUGUUGGUCAGGUUGGUCUUGAUCUCCUGACUACCAGCAAUCCACCUUCCUCAGCUUCCCAAAGUUCUAGACUUAUAGGCAAAUAAUUUCUUACUAUAAUUAUUAUUCAUAAAUUAUUAUUGGCUUUUUAAAACUGCCAAUAAAACAUCAAAAGAUAAACAAAUCAGGGCCUAAAGAGCACAUUUACUAUAGUUAAGUAGACCUUUGAUAAAUAUUAAUUACAUGCAAUUUAAAGUAACUUAUAGUUAAUAAGCAUAAUAUAUGUAACUGAAAAGAUUAAAUAUAAUUAACAAUUAAUAUUAUAUUUACUUUAUAUUGCUAUAAACUUUAUUAUCAUACAACUUUACUUAGAUUAUAAUUGUAAUGAAAGUAUCAUAGAACAUGCAAUAAAUACCAUUACUUCUCAUGGCUAAUAACUUAUUCUAUAAUCAGAAACAUUUUUAGGUAUUACUCAAAUUUCUAUGUCUAUGCAUAUUCAUAUUGCUAAAAGCAACUUCUCAGAUUAAUAGUUUACUUUUAGUAGUGACAGCUAUAUUUAAGGUUUACUUUCAGUUUUACUGUUCAACUAAAAUUGCCUAUCAGAAAAUUGCUAAUUUAUUCUGAAUAAAUAAAAUAAUUAUUUUAAUACUUUUGUGAAUGAUCAUAAAAUACAUUGUUUUAGCCAACUUAAAAAGUCCAAAUGUAAGCCUCUUUAUAUUAACAAAUAUACAGGUUUCAAAAACGGUAUAGAUUGGGAUGUAACUUAAAUAAUAAAAUGUAAAUAUUAAAUUUAGGAAAUAUUAAAUUAUUUCGUAAAUAAAGUUUUAUUUGAAAACAGCCUCAUGCAUAUCAAUUGUAUGUCUACAGCUGAUUUCACACUACAACAGCAGUUACCAUAUGGCUUUCAAAGCUUUAAAUAUUUUCUGUUUGGCUUUUU